rnacentral:lncRNA from 12 species
CCCUUGUGGCGACCUCUGCAGCCUCAGAGCUCUGGCUCUCAAAACAGCGGAGGGGAGAGGGCUGGGCGUGGAACAAAGCCAGGUGGGGAGCGCAGACACUGAACCAAAACAGCUGAGAGAUUUAAGAGAAGCUUGGAGAGAGAAUGUUAACUCCUUGAAGGCAGAACAAUUUGUCAUUCUGUUUUACGGACUCAUCUUCAUAUAUGGGAGCAGACUAGUAAGUGAUGGCUGCAGAUCCCUGGAAGUGGGAGGCUUCUAA